rnacentral:rRNA from 1 species
CCUGACUCGAUUCAAGCG